AUUGAACGCUGGCGGCAGGCUUAACACAUGCAAGUCGAACGCGUGGCAGACGGGUGAGUAAUUUCUGGGAACUGCCUGAUGGAGGGGGAUAACUACUGGAAAGGGUAACUAAUCCCUCAUCAAAUCGGAUAACCCAUAUGGGAGUAGCUAGGAGGUGAGGUAAUGGCUCACCUAGGCGACGAUCCCUAGCUGGUCUGAGAGGAUGAUAAGCCACAAUGGGACUGAGACACGGCCCAGACUCCUACGGAGGCAGCAGUGGGGAAUAUUGCACAAUGGGCGCAAGCCUGAUGCAGCCAGGCCGCGUGUAUGAAGAAGGCCCUAGGGUUGUAAAGUACUUUCAGUCGGGAGGCGUUACCGACAGAAGAAGCACCGGCUAACUCCGUGCCAGCAGCCGCGGUAAUUC
rnacentral:rRNA from 1 species